rnacentral:rRNA from 1 species
ACUCCUACGGGAGGCAGCAGUGGGGAAUUUUGCGCAAUGGGGGAAACCCUGACGCAGCAACGCCGCGUGAGUGAUGAAGGCCUUCGGGUCGUAAAGCUCUGUCUAGAGGAAAGAAAUGUUUGGAGGCUAAUACCCUUUGAACUUGACGGUACCUCUGAAGGAAGCACCGGCUAACUCCGUGCCAGCAGCCGCGGUAAU